ACGAACGCUGGCGGCGUGCUUCACCCAUGCAAGUCGAACGGAAAGGCCCUGCUUUUGUGGGGUGCUCGAGUGGCGAACGGGUGAGUAACACGUGAGUAACCUGCCCUUGACUUUGGGAUAACUUCAGGAAACUGGGGCUAAUACCGGAUAGGAGCUCCUGCUGCAUGGUGGGGGUUGGAAAGUUUCGGCGGUUGGGGAUGGACUCGCGGCUUAUCAGCUUGUUGGUGGGGUAGUGGCUUACCAAGGCUUUGACGGGUAGCCGGCCUGAGAGGGUGACCGGCCACAUUGGGACUGGGAUACGGCCCAGACUCCUACGGGAGGCAGCAGUGGGGAAUAUUGCACAAGGGGCGGAAGCCUGAUGCAGCAACGCCGCGUGCGGGAUGACGGCCUUCGGGUUGUAAACCGCUUUCGCCUGUGACGAGGCGUGAGUGACGGUAAUGGGUAAAGAAGCACCGGCUAACUACGUG
rnacentral:rRNA from 1 species